rnacentral:rRNA from 1 species
GCUCUACGAGCUGUCGCCAAAAGAUGGGCCCGCGUCGCAUUAGCUGGUUGGUGGGAUAAAAGCUCACCAAGGCGACGAUGCGUAGCCGACCUGAGAGGGUGAUCGGCCACACUGGGACUGAGACACGGCCCAGACUCCUACGGGAGGCAGCAGUAGGGAAUCUUCCGCAAUGGACGAAAGUCUGACGGAGCGACGCCGCGUGAGUGAUGAAGGUCUUCGGAUCGUAAAACUCUGUUGUGAGGGAAGAACAAGGGUGAGUUGAAGAAGCUCACCCCUUGACGGUACCUCACCAGAAAGCCCCGGCUAACUACGUGCCAGCAGCCGCGGUAAUACGUAGGGGGCGAGCGUUGUCCGGAAUUAUUGGGCGUAAAGGGCGCGCAGGCGGCCUUCUAAGUCUGAUGUGAAAUCUCGUGGCUUAACCACGAACGGUCAUUGGAAACUGGAGGGCUUGAGUACAGAAGAGGAGAGUGGAAUUCCACGUGUAGCGGUGAAAUGCGCAGAGAUGUGGAGGAACACCAGUGGCGAAGGCGACUCUCUGGUCUGUAACUGACGCUGAGGCGCAAAAGCGUGGGUAGCAAACAGGAUUAGAUACCCUGGUAGUCCACGCCGUAAACGAUGAGUGCUAGGUGUUAAGGGGUUUCCGCCCCUUAGUGCUGCAGU